rnacentral:tRNA from 1 species
GGGAGCUGCUGCACGACGGGCGGGGGUGGCUCUUCCAGGGCCGCGACCCGGUCCGGGUCCGGCGGCGCCUGCC